rnacentral:misc_RNA from 1 species
GUGAGUCAUCGAAUCUUUGAACGCACAUUGCGCCCGCCAGUAUUCUGGCGGGCAUGCCUGUCCGAGCGUCAUUUCAACCCUCAAGCACUGCUUGGUGUUGGGGCGCUACGCGUAGAGCGUAGGCCCUGAAAAUCAGUGGCGGACUCGCUGGAAGUCCGGGCGUAGUAGUGAUAUAUGUCGCCCGCGGUCUCCGGCGUGCCUCCUGCCGUAAAACCCCCCCAAACUUACAGAAGGUUGACCUCGGAUCAGGUAGGGUUACCCGCUGAACUUAAGCAUAUCAAUAAGCGGAGGA